rnacentral:rRNA from 1 species
AUUGAACGCUGGCGGCAGGCUUAACACAUGCAAGUCGAACGAGUUGCGGACGGGUGAGUAAUGCUUGGGAAUCUCGCUUAUGGAGGGGGAUAACUACGGGAACCUGUAGCUAAUACCGCGUACCAUCGGAUUAGCCCAAGUGGUAUUAGUUAGUUGGUGAGGUCAAGGCUCACCAAGCCGACGAUCUCUAGCGGGUCUAAGAGGAUGACCAGCCACACUGGGAAUGAGAAACGGGCCAGACUCCUACGGUAGGCAGCAGUGGGGAAGAUUGGACAAUGGGAGAAAUCUGAUCCAGCAAUACCGCGUGGGUGAAGAAGGCUCUAGGGUUGUAAAGCACUUUUGUUAGGGAGAUGUUACCUAAAGAAUAAGCACCGGCUAACUCCGUGCCAGCAGCCGCGGUAAUAC